GACGAACGCUGGCGGCGUGCUUAACACAUGCAAGUCGAACGGAAAGGCCCUGCUUGCAGGGUACUCGAGUGGCGAACGGGUGAGUAACACGUGGGUGAUCUGCCCUGCACUUCGGGAUAAGCCUGGGAAACUGGGUCUAAUACCGGAUAGGAGCCAUUUUUAGUGUGAUGGUUGGAAAGUUUUUUCGGUGUAGGAUGAGCUCGCGGCCUAUCAGCUUGUUGGUGGGGUAAUGGCCUACCAAGGCGGCGACGGGUAGCCGGCCUGAGAGGGUGGACGGCCACAUUGGGACCGAGAUAAGGCCCAGACGCCUACGGGAGGAAGCAGUGGGGAAUAUUGAACAAUGGGCGCAAGCCUGAUGCAGAGACGCCGCGGGGGGGAUGACGGCCUUCGGGUUGUAAAAUCCUUUCGCUAGGGACGAAGCUUUUUGUGACGGUACCUAGAUAAGAAGCACCGGCUAACUACGUG
rnacentral:rRNA from 1 species